AUGCCCAAGUGCACCAUGGGAGGGAGGGCUGACACCGGGGCCGACGCCAUGGCGCACGAAGCAUUCAAGCGCCGUGCAAAGCUGCACAUGGAGAAACCCCUCCCCGCCGGCGAGGGGUCCAGCCGGCAACAGGGCGGCCGUGAUGUCGUCGACCACGUCCAGGCUCCGGUGCAGGUGUCACCUACGCCAGAGCAGGUGACUCCUCUGCCACGUCGUCUGCCUCCUCUGCCGCAGCCCGAGGUAGCUGCUCUGGCUCCUCAGACGGAGCAGGUGACGCCUCCUGUGCCCGAGCCUGUGGUCGUCGGCGAUGUCAACAAAGAAGACGUAGCUCCUCUGGCUCCUCUGCCGGAGCAGGUGGUGGCUCCUCAGCCUCAGCCGGGUGUUCGUCUGCCGCGGAUGUUGCCUCCCCUGCCCCCACCUGUGGUCGUCGCCGACGAGAACGAAGAAGGGGUCCUAAGUGACGAUGUCGACAUCGACCAAGAAACCCAGAGGAUCUACAGGAGGCAGAAGGCGAGGGAGCUGAACAGUGGUGUGCUCGAGAAACGUAUCAGGCCAAGAAUCGGAAGGGGGGGCUAUGGAUGCGCUUACUGCAACAAGCUGAUGAAAGGCGACCUAAGAAGUACCAUCAACCAUGCAGUCGGAACAUCCCAAGGCAGCAUCAAGAAUGGCUACGCUUUCAGGGUGAAGCACGCCGCGUAUGCUGAGUACUUGAUGAGGCUUCUUUGA
rnacentral:rRNA from 1 species